UGCCCGAUGGUGGCGGGACUGCAGCAAGCCACCACCCGGGCAGGAAGCCCGACGGGAGGCAUGCGCGGCCCUUGCCCGCCUCCUCCGCUCCGCAGUCCGCCCUCCGGUUCCUCACCCGCGCCGUGCCGGGAGAGGCCGCCCCUCCACCUGCGCUGCAGCUUCCGACCGGGAGGCGAUGGGCCAGGUCCUCCCACCCAGGCCCGACUUCCGGGCCCUCCUGGCAUGCCGGGAGACGGUCCCUUCGCGAGGAGGGGCUACCCAGGUAUUUUUGGCUUGGGGGUGUUAGUUUUUGUUAAAGGGGUAAAGUGAAAGUCCUCGGAAUUAGUUAAGUGCGACGGAUAUACUCGUCGGCCAGUCUGGACCCUGAGCGCAACUUGCAGCAGGUGUGGAGGAAACUAAGCCAUGGAGGCGGAAGGUGGCAGCAGGUGACAUUCACCCACUGAUGAGUGAGGGCUGCUCUUCCUGGGGCAAGGCGGAAACCAUUCCAGUUCACCCCAGAGGCUGGUGACUUCCGUCAUGGUGCCCUCUGGGAGGCUCCAGGAGAAUCUGAGCAGGAGGAGCUUUAGGUGUGAUGGAGCUGUUACUAGUUUUGCAUCUUCCAGGGAGGGGCUAACCCAAUCCCCAAACACCCCACUCCUGGAACAGCAGGGGUUCAUGGAAGACUGGCAUUGGAAACUCUCCAUAAAGCCAGGGCAGUCUCAGCAGAUGCAACCUUUGGAAACAACUUAGGUGAUGUAAAUUAAUUUCCAGGCAUUCCCAAGGAGAUCUAAAGAUAGCCACAGCUUUCCCAUUGCCAUGGUUGGCAAACAGCCUCUUGAAGUUCACUGUUUUCAUAAGCCUUGUGUCCAUAAAUCCCAUGACCACUUGCAGAAGAUGCUGGUUCCUCUCCUUUUGCUUGGCCUUUUCCAGCCUUCUGUUGCCUCUUUCUUCUGUGAGCUGGCCAGUGCCUCCCUUCUCUGUGUCUGCUUUGGUUUUUCUAUUUCCCUUACCUAAUCAAACCUACCUCUGCCCACUCUUCCAUUUCUCUAGAGCAGCAGGAGUUGGGAGAAAGCUGAAGCAAACCAAGGCAAAAUCAAGCAGCAAAGGAGGUUAAAAUGUGAAUGCGUUUGAUUUAGAGCUCAACUUUGGCAUGCCCAGGCUGUCUCUAGUGGAUGAGCCAGGCUCCCAGUAGACCAGGCCCUGAGCCUCACCAGGCCACCUAAAGCAGCUCCUCCAAAGUUCAGCCCUGCAGCCACACAGGCUGCACUCCAAUAGACUGAGACAGAGAAAACAAUGCCCACACCAUUCUCCCUCCAAAAAUCUCAAGUAUUUGACCCUGAUUCUGUAUGUUCCUAAAGUCAUUUUUCUUUUAUCAAAAACUGAGAAACGUGACAAAAGGUACAGAAAGGAUAAUGUCUAGGUUGUGGCCUUGGAUAUUCUACCCAGUUUCUUCCCAUCCCUCUUAACCUUCAAACCUGUCACAGUCACAUAAUCUAUGACUCAAACUAUUAUUUAACCAUGAAAAAAGACAAACCAGGAAAUUAGAGGCUGAAUGACCUAAACUUUAUUCCAUUCAACUGAGCUAAUCUCCUCAAAAGGGUGUGUAUAAUAAAUCAUACUAUAUCUGUUCUGGAAGAUGUGAACAUUGAAGGGAAAAACGCAUGGUGACUACAGAUCCCAACUUGUUGAGAUUUGUCCUCAAAAGGGUAAGUGCCUGGUUGUAAGCCAAGUUGCCUAGCAGUUUGCUAAAUUAGCCUUAACAUUUGGGAACCAAUAUGUUGCAAUGGAGAGCACCCGAUGUUUAGGCUGACCACAUUCAUAUCCUGGCACUGUCGCUGCUUAGGCAAGCAAGGGACUUACCUGCCCUCCCUAAGUCUCCUCCACUGUGAAAUGGCAGUGACAGCAAUACCCAUCUCCUGGGGCCACUGUGAGGACAGAUGAGCAAAGUGCUUGGCACAUGUGAGCAACGCCCCCUCCCUAAAAGCACCCCCAGUCAACUUGCUGUAUGGUAAGCAGCAAAUUGGCAAGACCAAGAAGAAGGCUGGAGGCCCCACAAAGUGGGGUUCCACGGAGUCACUGGAACACAGUCAAGUAUCCCGAGCAAGAGAGAGAAGAGGAUCCCAGAGGAGGCAGCUGGCGGGUGGAGCACUGCAGGGAGAGCCAAGGACAGCCACUCACAGCGGGGGUGGGAGGACGCAGGGGGCUCUGCUCCAGUCCUCCCGCAUUAGCGCAACGCGGCUGCAUCCCCACCCUCACAUGUGUUCAUCCUUACGUGAAACUCAGCACAUACUGACCUCACACCCACGAUGUGCAUGGCUCUGGCGGGUGGCGUGCUGUAGCAGGAGUGAACGUAAGAAGUGAUCACAUUGGCAUCAGAGACUUAACAAACCAGGCAUUUCUGCCCAGAUUCAGAAACCUAUCUUUUCAGGAGCUAGAUAGAUUGUAAGGAUAUGACCAAAUACUGAAAAAAAUCUUAUUUCAGGAUCGGUUUUUUCUUCUUUAAGUAGAAAGGCAAAGAGUUAAAAAAAUGUUCUGGAAAUGUCAACAUCAACUGAAUCUUGGUACUAUUUAGGGGGCAUUAUUUCAUUUUUAGGUGAAAUAAGGACAAGGUGGUUAAGUUGAAUGAGUCCAUUUUUUUAGAGAUGCAUACCGAAACACUGCCAGAUGAUAUGAGCUGAUGUAUAGGGUUUACCUCAGUAUUAUAUGGGAGAUGGGGAGGCAGAUGGUGGUAAAAAUAGACAAGUAUGGCCCGGUGGUGGUGAGGUUGGUGAUGGGGCACAUGGGGGGUUCAUCAUACUCCUCUGUCUCCUUCUGUAUAUGUCUGAAAUUUUCCAUCAUAAAUGUUUUAAAUUCCUAAAAGCUGAAAAAAAUUUUUACUGAGGAAUUUCUUGUCUUAUUGGUUCUUGCAACCUGUUGUUUACUU